CAGUUAAACGGGUGGUUGCCCUGCGGGGCAGCCACUGCACACGAAACAGUUUCGUGUUGGCCUGGCCAGCCCUGUUCCGUGUGCAGAAUUAUUGACGCAUUCAGAUAUUGGUAACACAUGAACCCCAUUGUAAUAACCAGGCUCCAGCGGAAGUUGGGCUACACUUUUACUC
rfam:Erwinia billingiae strain Eb661 complete chromosome.